AGAGUUUGAUCAUGGCUCAGGAUGAACGCUGGCGGCGUGCCUAAUACAUGCAAGUCGAGCGAACAGAUGAGAAGCUUGCUUCUCUGAUGUUAGCGGCGGACGGGUGAGUAACACGUGGGUAACCUACCUAUAAGACUGGGAUAACUCCGGGAAACCGGGGCUAAUACCGGAUAAUAUAUUGAACCGCAUGGUUCAAUGUUGAAAGACGGUUUCGGCUGUCACUUAUAGAUGGACCCGCGCCGUAUUAGCUAGUUGGUAAGGUAACGGCUUACCAAGGCAACGAUACGUAGCCGACCUGAGAGGGUGAUCGGCCACACUGGAACUGAGACACGGUCCAGACUCCUACGGGAGGCAGCAGUAGGGAAUCUUCCGCAAUGGGCGAAAGCCUGACGGAGCAACGCCGCGUGAGUGAUGAAGGUCUUAGGAUCGUAAAACUCUGUUGUUAGGGAAGAACAAAUUUGUUAGUAACUGAACAAGUCUUGACGGUACCUAACCAGAAAGCCACGGCUAACUACGUGCCAGCAGCCGCGGUAAUACGUAGGUGGCAAGCGUUAUCCGGAAUUAUUGGGCGUAAAGCGCGCGUAGGCGGUUUCUUAAGUCUGAUGUGAAAGCCCACGGCUCAACCGUGGAGGGUCAUUGGAAACUGGGGAACUUGAGUGCAGAAGAGGAGAGUGGAAUUCCAUGUGUAGCGGUGAAAUGCGCAGAGAUAUGGAGGAACACCAGUGGCGAAGGCGGCUCUCUGGUCUGUAACUGGCGCUGAUGUGCGAAAGCGUGGGGAUCAAACAGGAUUAGAUACCCUGGUAGUCC
rnacentral:rRNA from 1 species